GAUCUGCUAUCCUAGUUCGGUUUAGACAUGCGAGUCGAGAGUCUUCGGGACUCGGCGAACUGCUCAGCAAUAUGUGGUCAACCUACCCUGUACUCAGGGAUAAUUGCGGGAAACUGCAGCUAAUACCUGAUGGGUGUUCUGUUCUGGAAUGAUGGGACAUCGAAAGGUUACGGUAUAGGAUGGGACCACAUCUUAUCAGCCUGUUGGGGGUGUAACGGACCCCCAAAGCUAUAACGGGUACGGGCCAUGAGAGUGGAAGCCCGGAGAUGGAUUCUGAGACAUAAAUCCAGGUCCUACGGGACGCAGCAGUUACGAAAACUUCGCAAUGUGCUAGCGCACGACGAGGGAACUUGGAGUGUUCAUGCUCUGCAUGAGCUUUUGUCCACUGUAAACAGGUGGAUGAAUAAGGGGUGGGUAAGACGAGUGCCAGCCGCCGCGGUAAUACUCGCGCCCCGAGUGGUAUCCGCAAUUAGUGGGUCUAAAGCGUCCGUAGCCGGUCUGAUAAGUCUCUAGUGAAAUUCUUCGGUAAACUGAAGAGCUUGCUGGAGAUACUACCAGACUUGGGACUGGGAGAGGGUUAACGUACUCCCAGGGGAGGGGUAAAUCCUAUAAUCCUG
rnacentral:rRNA from 1 species